rnacentral:rRNA from 1 species
GACGAACGCUGGCGGCGUGCUUAACACAUGCAAGUCGAGCGAUGAAGUUCCUUCGGGAACGGAUUAGCGGCGGACGGGUGAGUAACACGUGGGUAACCUGCCUCAUAGAGGGGAAUAGCCUUUCGAAAGGAAGAUUAAUACCGCAUAAGAUUGUAGUUUCGCAUGAAACAGCAAUUAAAGGAGUAAUCCGCUAUGAGAUGGACCCGCGUCGCAUUAGCUAGUUGGUGAGGUAGCGGCUCACCAAGGCGACGAUGCGUAGCCGACCUGAGAGGGUGAUCGGCCACAUUGGGACUGAGACACGGCCCAGACUCCUACGGGAGGCAGCAGUGGGGAAUAUUGCACAAUGGGGGAAACCCUGAUGCAGCAACGCCGCGUGAGUGAUGACGGUCUUCGGAUUGUAAAACUCUGUCUUCAGGGACGAUAAUGACGGUACCUGAGGAGGAAGCCACAGCUAACUACGUGCCAGCCGCCGCCGUAA